AGUAUUGACUUUUUAUUAUUAGUCACUGUUCAUAAUUUGUUUCAACCAAAAGACAAUACACACAGCAGAAUCCGAAUGCAUCCCAUGUAAAUGUUUACAUCCAUGUUAUUCCUCACUCGCCUCCAAGAGACUUAUCAUUUCACUUUAAAGUGUUUUACAUCUCAAAAAUAUGUCUGCAAUAAUUAGAACUUCAUUAGCUGCCCCACUUGGAAACAGCCUUUUAAUAAUUUUACAGUAAAGAAGAUGUGAUGGGGCCUAAUGAAAACCGUAACUUACAACAUAGUAAAAGGAGAAGGACGAUGAUACAAGAACACAGUGGGGUUCACAAAGGAAGGAGUGCAGAAGCCCUUUCCCAUGAGGUCCCCCAAAUAAAAUAAAAACAAAACACACAAAGCGCAAAUGCAGGUCUUUAAGGGGAGAAAGUCUCCAAUGCUCUGUCUUGAAGCCAGGAGCAAGAAGCAACUGCUCAAGCUGCUUCAAGCCGCUUCAGCUUUUUCUUCUGUUUAAGAGUUCCAGGUUCUGGGACUGGAACCUUGUCCAUGGGACCCACUCUCUGCUAUUGCUUGAAAAGGGUUUUCACUUUCAGUUUAGGGCUCUGUAGUUAAAAUACAUUCAGUAGGAAAAGAAAAAUACACAUUCAAACUCCUCCUUCCCCAAGUUUUCACGGCCGAAAUAUAUUCCAAUGUAGAAGAAAAUAAAGUUGAACCACAAAAGCGGUAUUCCCUAACUUCCAACAUUCUCUAAAAGGGCGCAGAAAUGAAAAGCAAGGUGUCAUAUGGGAGAUGGAAAAUUUCAAACUAUUAGUGCUGGACAGUUUUAAAAGUCUGUUUUCAUAUGUGAGGGAAACAAACAAAGGUUAAGAGCCACACCAGGAACCAAGCAAGGAAUACCUGUACUGUUACACUGAGGAAUGUUGCUUUAAAUGAAAAAACCAAAAAACAACAACCAAAAAAAAAACCAAAACACCUCGAAGUUUAACAGAUGAUAACAUACACAGCAGAAAACCUCCAUGACUCCCUAAACCAUCUCAAGGUAACAGCACCAAAGCAUUGUGGGAGAAGCGUGUACAGUUGUCUGAGAUUACUUAGAGGAACUCUCCCUUAGGGUGACUCUGGGAUGGGAAAGAAGGAUGACAUAAAAACUACUCCUCGAGGAAGGCGAUGCUAAUGAGGUACAAGUGCGUAUAAAACUGUCAAUAAGUGGGGCUCACUGCUUAUCACCUUGGCUUUAUUCAAAAGUCACAGAAAUCACUCUCUUCACAAAGGCUCCGAGGUUGUCAUAUACAUCCAAAUCUGUUUCCUCUUGAAGGGUCACGUGUGGGAAAGGAAUGACUGAAAUGUGCGCGCGUAGUCACAGAAACGAAGAGAUUCCUCCUUUAAGCUGCAAGGCCGAGUGAGAAGAGAACUAAUGCUCCUAGAAACUAAGAAGGCACGCUGAAGCUUUCAAAGAUCCAAUCACAGGGGACAGUCUUCACAACCGUCAGCAUCCUAGGCAGGCAUCUGGCUGCUAGUCCGUCAGUAUGGUGUUCAGGUCGUCUCCCAAAUGAACUCCAUAUCUACACAGCACCCUUUGUGUUAAGGCCAUGAUUUUUUUUUUCCUUCUCGAUAAAGCCAUGGAUGAUUGUAAAUGCUACCUCCAAACUCAUCAC
rnacentral:lncRNA from 1 species